rnacentral:rRNA from 1 species
GACGAACGCUGGCGGCGUGCCUAAUACAUGCAAGUAGAACGCUGAAGAGAGGAGCUUGCUCUUCUUGGAUGAGUUGCGAACGGGUGAGUAACGCGUAGGUAACCUGCCUUGUAGCGGGGGAUAACUAUUGGAAACGAUAGCUAAUACCGCAUAACAAUGGAUGACACAUGUCAUUUAUUUGAAAGGGGCAAUUGCUCCACUACAAGAUGGACCUGCGUUGUAUUAGCUAGUAGGUGAGGUAACGGCUCACCUAGGCGACGAUACAUAGCCGACCUGAGAGGGUGAUCGGCCACACUGGGAAUGAGACACGGCCCAGACGCCUACGGGAGGCAGCAGUAGGGAAUCUUCGGCAAUGGGGGCAACCCUGACCGAGCAACGCCGCGUGAGUGAAGAAGGUUUUCGGAUCGUAAAGCUCUGUUGUAAGUCAAGAACGAGUGUGAGAGUGGAAAGUUCACACUGUGACGGUAGCUUACCAGAAAGGGACGGCUAACUACGUG